UACGAAGGGGGCUAGCGUUGCUCGGAUUUACUGGGCGUAAAGGGCGCGUAGGCGGACAGUUAAGUUGGGGGUGAAAGCCCGGGGCUCAACCUCGGAAUUGCCUUCAAUACUGGCUGUCUUGAGUGUGAGAGAGGUGUGUGGAACUCCGAGUGUAGAGGUGAAAUUCGUAGAUAUGCGGAAGAACACCAGUGGCGAAGGCGACACACUGGCUCACUACUGACGCUGAGGCGCGAAAGCGUGGGGAGCAAACAGG
rnacentral:rRNA from 1 species